UAGUUGAAAUGAUGAUUAAUUUAACAUCAAACUACAGAGCUUCAAUUAAUAUAGUGAACGAUCUAGACCCGGUGAAAGAUUUCUGUAAUUCGUUUCAUCACCCUAAUUUGAUUACAUCAAAUUAUCGACAAGUGUGUGAAUUAUAGGCAAAUAUAAACUUUCGAUAUUAAGAAAAUGUUUUAAUUAAUAAAAUAGUCAAGAUUACAA